GGUUGCGAUCAUACCAGCACUAAUGCACCGGAUUCCAUCAGAACUCCGCAGUUAAGCGUGCUUGGGCGAUAGUAGUACUAGGAUGGGUGACCCCCUGGGAAGUCCUCGUGUUGCAACCC
rnacentral:rRNA from 1 species